rnacentral:rRNA from 1 species
UACGAAGGGGGCUAGCGUUGCUCGGAAUCACUGGGCGUAAAGCGCACGUAGGCGGCUUUCUAAGUCAGGGGUGAAAUCCCGGAGCUCAACUCCGGAACUGCCCUUGAUACUGGAAAGCUUGAGUUCGGGAGAGGUGAGUGGAACUGCGAGUGUAGAGGUGAAAUUCGUAGAUAUUCGCAAGAACACCAGUGGCGAAGGCGGCUCACUGGCCCGAUACUGACGCUGAGGUGCGAAAGCGUGGGGAGCAAACAGG